rnacentral:rRNA from 1 species
AGCGACUUAUAUUCUGUAGCAAGGUUAACCGUAUAGGGGAGCCGGAGGGAAACCGAGUCUUAAUUGGGCGUUAAGUUGCAGGGUAUAGACCCGAAACCCGGUGAUCUAGCCAUGGGCAGGUUGAAGGUUGGGUAACACUAACUGGAGGACCGAACCGACUAAUGUUGAAAAAUUAGCGGAUGACCUGUGGCUGGGGGUGAAAGGCCAAUCAAACCGGGAGAUAGCUGGUUCUCCCCGAAAGCUAUUUAGGUAGCGCCUCGUGAAUUCAUCUCCGGGGGUAGAGCACUGUUUCGGCUAGGGGGCCAUCCCGGCUUACCAACCCGAUGCAAACUGCGAAUACCGGAGAAUGUUAUCACGGGAGACACACGGCGGGUGCUAACGUCCGUCGUGAAGAGGGAAACAACCCAGACCGCCAGCUAAGGUCCCAAAGUCAUGGUUAAGUGGGAAACGAUGUGGGAAGGCCCAGACAGCCAGGAUGUUGGCUUAGAAGCAGCCAUCAUUUAAAGAAAGCGUAAUAGCUCACUGGUCGAGUCGGCCUGCGCGGAAGAUGUAACGGGGCUAAACCAUGCACCGAAGCUGCGGCAGCGAACGUAUCACCCAAGACAACUUUACGGAGUUGACGAUUGACGGAGCGAAGCGACGUCAAAGCGUUCAUUAAAGUCGAGUUGGCUUAGGGAUACGUUCGUUGGGUAGGGGAGCGUUCUGUAAGCCUGUGAAGGUGUGUCGUGAGGCAUGCUGGAGGUAUCAGAAGUGCGAAUGCUGACAUAAGUAACGAUAAAGCGGGUGAAAAGCCCGCUCGCCGGAAGACCAAGGGUUCCUGUCCAACGUUAAUCGGGGCAGGGUGAGUCGACCCCUAAGGCGAGGCCGAAAGGCGUAGUCGAUGGGAAACGGGUUAAUAUUCCCGUACUUGGUGUUACUGCGAAGGGGGGACGGAGAAGGCUAUGUUGGCCGGGCGACGGUUGUCCCGGUUUAAGCGUGUAGGUGUGUGUUCCAGGUAAAUCCGGUU